CCCGCUGACAUGUUAAACUGGCAGGCCACUUAUUUGUGUUCUGUCUGGACAGAAUGUGCCUUCACGAGAGCCUGUGGAUAACCGUGACCACAUGAAGCUGUCAGACGAGCUGAUCUGGACAACCUCGGGGCAGAAUGUUGUGAAAUUUAUUUUUAAUGGGAGCCAAUGAAAGGGGGUCCAGCCAGACCUCAGCACCUGAAGCCCACAGUCGACGAAUGGAGCUGCCCAUGCACAGCUCUAGGAACCCAGUCCCACGAGGGCCGUGUUUUCUGCCUGCUGUGUUCACUGUUGCAUUCCCAGCACCGAGAAGUGUCCAGUGUGCGGCAAGUGCUCCACAAAGAUAAACACGCCCUGGAAACUCAUCUGCUGAUCAUUAGAGGGAAAAGAGGCGCUCGGGACUCUCAGCUCCACUGUGCAGAUGGCCAGAAAGGUGUCAGUGGAAAUGAAAAAGCAUUUCUGGGUAGGAGGGCAGAUGCAUUGCUCUGGGCGGAUCCGGGUGGCUUGCUGGUGCUCCCAGGCAGCCUGGCCUGAAACAGCGAGGCCCCUCGCCUCCCUGCCCCAUCUCUCCAGGAAGCCCAGGGUCCCACACCUCAGAGCGGUACCAGCGUUGGCCUCUGGACAGAUGACAAAGGCUGUCCAGGUCUCUCCUGAUGGCUCUUGCCGGGCAGUGAGGACUCGCCCAGGCCCCAGCCGAGCCCAGGCCUCUGGCUACAUCCUCUCCUCUUGGCCCCGGAGAGCAAGGGGCAGCCGAGGGGAAGCAGAAAUGAGCUUUUGGUUUUUCUGCAACUGCUUUGAUUUUUUUGUUGUUGUUUUUCAAGAAGAAAACACUCAGCCCGAUCCCGGGGGGAAGGGGGCGGACAGAAGUGAAGGCUAUUUCGGAGCCGGCUGCCUCCCCCAAAGGAAGGGUGUGAAUAGUGGGAAGAGAGUCCAGCCCUCACUUCCUGGAAUCGAGUGUGUGGGCAGCCUUUGCCUUUUGCAGCUAUUCUUCAGUCACAUUAUCUCAGUUUUCAGCCUCACAAUAACCCCGCUAAGUGAGCGAAAAGGGGCAUUGUCCCCACUUUACUAGUGAGGAAACUGAGGCUCUGAGAUGUCAGCUAACUUAUGAGAAAGGGAUGGAGUUCAGCCCCUAACGCAGGUCCGAGUCUCCCACCUUCUCCACC